GCGAACGCUGGCGGCAGGCUUAACACAUGCAAGUCGAGCGGGCAUAGCAAUAUGUCAGCGGCAGACGGGUGAGUAACGCGUGGGAACAUACCUUUUGGUUCGGAACAACACAGGGAAACUUGUGCUAAUACCGGAUAAGCCCUUACGGGGAAAGAUUUAUCGCCGAAAGAUUGGCCCGCGUCUGAUUAGCUAGUUGGUGAGGUAAUGGCUCACCAAGGCGACGAUCAGUAGCUGGUCUGAGAGGAUGAUCAGCCACAUUGGGACUGAGACACGGCCCAAACUCCUACGGGAGGCAGCAGUGGGGAAUAUUGGACAAUGGGCGCAAGCCUGAUCCAGCCAUGCCGCGUGAGUGAUGAAGGCCCUAGGGUUGUAAAGCUCUUUUGUGCGGGAAGAUAAUGACGGUACCGCAAGAAUAAGCCCCGGCUAACUUCGU
rnacentral:rRNA from 1 species